rnacentral:rRNA from 1 species
GGGCCUACGGGGCGCAGCAGUGAGGAAUAUUGGUCAAUGGGAGAGAUCCUGAACCAGCCAAGCCGCGUGAGGGAAGACGGCCCUAUGGGUUGUAAACCUCUUUUGUCGGAGAACAAAACCCGGGACGAGUCCCGGACUGAGUGUAUCCGAAGAAAAAGCAUCGGCUAACUCCGUGCCAGCAGCCGCGGUAAUACGGAGGAUGCGAGCGUUAUCCGGAUUUAUUGGGUUUAAAAGGUGCGUAGGCGGUCCGUUAAGUAAGCGGUAAAAUUGCGGGGCACAACCCCGUCGAGCCGUUGAAACUGGGG